AACACAGAAAAAUUAAGACAUGUUUGGAAUCAACAAGAGCAUUUAUGAGGAAGACUGCAACGUUUCAAUGUGGACACUCAGCACUUUCCCUUAUAGAUGCCAGAAAGAUGGAACGUCUUGUGGGGUCCUGGUCUUAAAAUUUGCAGAGACAAUUUUACAAGGGGAGGCAAUAGAUCUCUGCACGUCUCAGGAAACAGUGUAAUCAUCAUGCAGCCAAACUGUGUCUCUACUGUAGACAAGGUAGACAUGUAAUACAGACCAUUCGUCUUCCACAACUUGCAUGUAUGCCCUCCUCGACUCUGGGUCAGCCGGCAAUUUCAUCUCUGCAGGUUUAUGUCACAGACUUCAGCUCAAGAAAAAUAAUUCAACAACACCCUCUAUCAGAUCCAGUCCAUAACUGGAGGUCCACUUGGCUGAGGACAUGUUCAACUGCAUGGGUCUCGUUCAGUUGUGGAUUGGACAGCUACACAUAGGAAACAUCAGUCUGUUUCUAUCUGGAGGAUUCCACCACUGUUCUAAUCAGCCAAUCACAUGGCAGCAACUCAAUGUAUUGAGGCAUGCAGACAUGGUCAAGAUGAUCUGCUGCAGUUCAAACCGAGCAUCAGAAUGUUGAAGAAAGGGGUUUUAAGUGACUUUGGGUUGGAAAAACAUUGCCUGGUCUGAUGAGUCGAGAUGGUAGGGUCAGAAUUUGGCGUCAACAACAUGAAGCAUGGAUCCAUCCUACCUUGUAUCAAUGGUUCAGGCUGGUGAUGGUGGUGUAAUGGUGUGGGGGAUAUUUUCUUGGCACACUUUGGGCCCAGUAGUACCAAUUGAGCAUCGUGUCAACGCCACAGCCUAUCUGAGUAUUGUUGCUGGCCUCCACAUUCACCAGAACUGUUUCAAAUAGAGCACGUUUGGGAGAUUUGCGUCAUGGAUGUGCAACUGACAAAUCUGCAGCAACUGCGUGAUGCUAUCAUGUCAAUAUGGACCAAAAUUUCUGAGGAAUAUUUCCAGUACCUUGUUGAAUCUACGUCACAAAAGAUUAACGCAGUUCUGAAGGCAAAAGGGGUCCAACCCGCUACUAGUAAGUUGUACCUAAUAAAAUGGCCGUCUUUAUAAGCUUGGAUCCAACCAGUAUCCUGAGCAGAUGGCUGUCAUGAUCAUGGAUGAGUCGAGAACAUGAGACUGAUUCCUGAAAGACCCCGGUGACAGCCGAGUCUCCUCACUGAUCCCGUGGGCCACCUGCCGCUGACCUACUCAGACUUGCAGAUUCUCUCCAUGUUGGAAGUCUCAGGCGCCCAGACUGCAGGUCUGCACAAGAUGUUUGGCCAGAGGAGAGCUGGUCAUGCCCGGCUGAGCCUGGUUUCUCUCAAGGACAUGUCUUUAGACUGUGGGGGAAACCGGAGCACCCGGAGGAAACCCACGCGAACACAGGGAGAAUAAGCAAACUCCACACAGAAACGCCAACUGGCCCAGCCGGGACUGGAACC